rnacentral:lncRNA from 1 species
CUCUCCUGCUCCUUUCCGUUCGACGCCCAGAAAUUUCAGAGCGCAGGAGCUACCAGAGCUCCCUCCGGUCACCGUGAGGCCUCGCCUAGCCGCCGCCUGGCCCGUCCAAGCCCCGCCGGUCCUCCUCCGUCGUCCCUCCGCCCGAACCGGCGCCGGAUCUGCUCCCUCUCGGCCCCGAUCAGCAACCCAUAAAAUGGGUAUGGCAGCCCAUGUUUGGCCCGUUUUGGCCGCCUUCCCGAGCCCGGAUGCUUAGCCCGCUUUGAGGAAAGUCGAUCCUCGCGUCGUCCCCGUCAUUUUGGUCCGCUCGGCUCGCUAAUCCGGUGAGUUUAGCUCACUAAACCUCGCUUAGAGGGUUAAUUAUGCUUAGGGAGGUUUAGUUUAUGUUAAGUAUUAUUAGGUUGUUAGUUUAGGUUAAUUAAGAGUGGAUUUGGUUAAGGUUGUGGUUUAAUUUAAAGUGUGCUUAAUUAAGGGUAAGUAGGUUUAUUUAAAAUAAGCCUUGAUUUGACUUAAAUGAAUUUACUUUUGAUUUAUUUAAAUGUCUCGAAAUUAUUAUAUGAUUUAAUAAUAUAUUUUAUUCGAAAUUAAUAAAAUAUUAUUAUUUAAUUAUUUUCGGAAUAAAUUUAAUUAUUUAUUAAAUUCCGAAAAUUUUGUCGGGACCCUAAAUUCUCAGAAUUCCGUACCGAUCGCUGCUGUGUAGUCAGAUUUUGAAAUUGAUGAUUGGAUAUUAUAAAUCGAGGGUGGAUUGUGAAAGAUAGGGAUAUUAUUAUUUAAUUAAUUUUCGAAAUAAAUUUAAUUAUUAAAUAAAUUCCGAAAAUUAAGUUGGGACCCUAAAUUCUUAGAAUUUUGUGCUGAUCGCUGCUGUGUAUUCAGAUUAUGAAUUUGAUGAUUAGAUGUUUCAAAUUGAGUGAUGAUUGGUGCAAUUAAUUAUCGAAUUGUUGUGUGCUGGUUGAAAGACUCGGGUCGCAGUAGUGGCUAGGCCGACUGGACCUUUGUUCUUAUAGAAAUGCCGUCAGGAGAGUGACGUGGCUCGGGUCGCAGUAGUGGCUAGGCCGACUGGACCCAUGCUCCUUCGGGAAUGCCGUCGACGUAAUGACGAAGCCGCGCUCCAUGGGGGGGAGGCGAUGCCUGGCAUUAGUGUCAGUAGAUAGCCGAACUGCGAGUAGGCUAUGCCCUUGUGUGGCAGUGAAUAAUAAUUGGAAUGUGUGUUAAGUGAGACUGUGAUUUAUAUGAAAGUGAUGACGUUCCAAUUGUUUGAAUUAUUAUUACUACCUGAGAUUGUGUAAUACGAAUUGUGCUAACCUGCAGGGAAGAAUUGAGGCGAGGUAAGUUCUCUGUGUGAUGUGGCUAGGCCACCCUUGGGCGUAUUUUCUUUCUAAUAGGGGCUUAGGGGGUUGAACUUGCUGAGACGUUGUCUCAGUGGUUAUUGAAUAACCAUUUCAGGUCCCUGGUGGACGGAGCGGCCGGAUAGCUUUGG